rnacentral:misc_RNA from 12 species
AGAGAGAGAGAGAGAGAGAGAGAGAGAGAGAGAGAGAGGAAGAAAGAAGGUAUUUUCGAUUUUCUCUCUCUUUCUCCCUCUCUCUCUGACUAAUU